CAGCUUUUCUCUGGUGACCUCUGGUGACUUCUCAGUGAUCUCUCACACCAGAGGAGGUUUGGCUGCCUCAGGGGAGGUCAUGUGGAGGGUAAGGCUGCAUAGACCUGCAAAUACAUGCAUGCACAGGCAGGCAAAUACACACCACAAAGACCUAAGAAGGUUUUUGUUUCUAACUUGAAAAAAGAAAUCUGUCAAACUGAUAUGACACUAUUUUACACUGCACAGGCUUGGUGGAUUUAACCAUGAUUUUUAAUCAAUAAAUUAAUAAUAAUGCAUAUUCUUGUGAUCUUUUUAAUUGAAAAGACCAUUAAAACACUUGAGACUUGUGACUUUAAGUUAACUUGAGUUAAUCCACCACCAACUUUCUGACUGAGAAAAAAAAACUGACUAUCACUGAACUUAGCCCCUGAACAAUCAACAUGCAAUAAUGAAAACAGUGCGAAUCACAGUGAAGGCUAGUAUACAGAUCAGUCCCUAAUAUUACAUAAAUAAACACCUAAAUAUGAGAAUGGUAAAAACAGAUUUUAGUCAAAGUAAUUUUGAUACAUUUGCAUUGUUUGUAUAAACCUAUGAUUGACAACUACAUUGAACAACAUUCAUGAUCUUCUCACAGAUAAUCAGUCAAUGACUCACCUGUUAGUGUGAGGAAUAUAAAAGGCAAAAAGUGAACAUUCCCCCUCCCUCAAAGGUGGUGUAGAAAGCAGGAAAAUUCGCAGGUUUAAAGAUGAGAGGGAGUUUUCCGAUGAGAGAAUUGUCAGUCAUGCCUCUAAUUCCCCAAACUUGUAAUCGUAAUUUCAAAACAAAUGCAUUACAAAAAAAAUCCCACUCCCUGGACAGUGGGAACCCUGAGCUUUUCAGGCCAAUGCCAUUUUUUUGUACCAGGCUGAUAACGUGUUUAUUUUUGCUCUUGAAUGGACUUAUUUUCUUUCACUUAUUUGUACAUAGUUUCUAGUGCUUCCAGCCGGCCUCAAGAAACUGUAGUUUUUUAGCACUUAUGCAUUAGCUUCAUUUCUUAAGACUGGAGGGUGCUGUUUUGCCAGAACCAAACAGAGGCCUGUUGAGACCUUUUUCAACCCAACUGAUGCAGUGAUUCAUGCAGAGGUGGUAUGAAGUAUGUGUGUGCACACUUAAAUGGUUAAGAGCUACAUAUAAGCACCAAACAGAUGUUAUAAUCCUGUGUCUUAUUUUCAACUUUACAAAUGAAUACAAAAAAGGAAGAACAUGUAAUUCUUAAUUUAAUUCUUUGAGGGCUCAAAAGGAAGCUGUAGUAUUAAAUCACUAUUUGAACUGAAAAAAAGAAAAAGAAAAGUAAACUUCUGCAAAUUGCCAACACUGUUUUAAAAUAUAGUGUGUUUGAGUUUGCUUGCAAUUUUAGUCUGCCUUAUAAAAUGCAUUGUGAAGUACCAUCAAAUCUGGAGAAUCAGUCGCAUGGUGCGAAACACACAGUUUGUUUUUGGGGGGCUUUCAGAGAAGAGAAGAUUUAAUCUGUGUUCCUGCAUGAUGCCUUCCAUUGCAUUCUGCAAUAUGCAAUUUCUGUGUGACUCUGUAGAUCGUUGUAGAUAGUUGUGUGAUAUGGAGGACCCAUUGCACCCUGUCAGACUUGCACACCAGCCUCUGCUGGUCACUUCUCUUAAAAUUAAGGAGUCUUUUCAACCAAACCAGCGCUCCACAAGAGCUGGUCCAUCUUCUAGGGGAAAUAUCAUAAACUGCUCUGUAUUUUAUACUGGUAUACUGGUUACUCCAGUGUAUAGGUCCCACUUACUUUAUCCAUGCACACACUUUUAACAUGUGUGCUACUCUAAAAUUUACAGUAAUUUUCUAGAAUUUAGAGUCACAACAAUAGAUGUGACUUUCAGUUAUAAAUGUGCUAAAGCAAAGAAAACAGCUAACAUUGUGUUGCAACAAAGGCCAGACGGUGAAUUUUAACCCAAGUCCUGUCGCUGACAAAGCAAAGAGCCUCUUGUGGUUCAAGAUAGGAUGCGAUACGAUAUGAUACUAUACAACACAAUAUGAUACAAUACGAUAUGAUACAAUACCGAACAAUACGAUACAAUAAACAAUACAAUAUGAUACAAUACGAUAUGCUAUGAUAUGAUAUAAUACAAUACUAUACAAUAUGAUACGAUACAAUAUAAUACAAUAUGAUACAAUAUGGUACUAUAUGAUACAAUACUUUAUAGUACAAUACGAUACGAUACAAUAUGAUACUUUACAAUACAAGAUGAUACUAUACAGACAAUACAAUACGAUACAAUACGAUAUGAUGCGAUACUGAAUAAAACAAUACAAUACGAUAUGAUACCCUACAUGAUACCAUACGAUACAAUACUGUACAGUACAAUACUAUAUGAUAUGAUACAAUAUAUUUCUCUUAAGGAAAAAAUUGGUCAGAGACUUAAGUGAUGCACAUUCUUAAAAAGAUUUUGGGUUGGCACCAAGGGUGGCCAAUUCGACUACUGGAGGGCUCAUGCUCCCCUUGGCCGUUGCUCUAGACAUGUCCCUGCUGACCCAUGGUACUCAAAACAUAAAAAAUAAAUAGAUGUGACAGAUAGUGUGGAGUUUAUUUUUUUUACCCUUCAUUUGUUUAUUUGAAAGCCAGCACAUGACUGAUUAUGCCUUUGUCAUACUUUUCAUACCAUUUGUGGACAAGUAGACUCCCAUUUUCACUGUCAUGAUGAUAGGAAAGAAACAAAAUGUGUCUGUAUGUGAGGAUACAUACAUGUAUUGAGGACAGAAAAGUGAUAAUUUCCUACACUCUUGUAUAUCUUGUGUUCGUACCUUACUAAAGUUAGUGCUGUGAUUUCAUCUUCAAUCAUUGUGUAUGUUUUUAUAAAAUUAAAGCACUUUCCUUGUUAUUUCCCUUACUUUUUUGUGCAUUGCCUUUAGGAUCCAGGCUUUACUUAUGGUGCAAUCUUACUUGUAACUUGCAAUUAAUCAGAGUGGCCUGACCAUCUAUCCCCUGUUGGGGGCAUACAUGAACAUUCUUCACCCACAGGUUAAAAAACAUCAGCUUAUACAAGAACACAGGUGAAUGCACACGCAUUACACAUCACUGAAACCAUGCACACUAGAGUACGUGCAUUGUGUAUUCACAGGCCUACAUUCAUGCAAAUCACUCCCGGCAUUUUCAAAGACUUCCCCGUGGACAGAAGCGUCUGCCAGCGCUGCUAUAAAUCACGCUGAGGCUGGUGCUGAGGGCAAGGCACACCUUGUCCACGUCGCCCCCACUCCUAGGCUGAAUAAACCAUAACAUCCUGCCACUCGUGCUGCCCGACGCCCUCAGAGCACGACCCUAGAGAAGACCCCCACCCCUUUGCCCUCAUCUCCUCCUCCUCCUCCUCCUCCCUUCCUCCAUCUCAUCGCCCAUCUCAUCUCUGCCAUUGUUCUUCCUCCUCCCUCCAGCUCAGCUAUCUUUAGAAAUUUUGGCUUUGCAAUGGGUGAUUAAGCAAAGCUUUGGUAAUUUGGAACAAUCCUAACCCCCCCCCUCCCAAUCUUCAUCUUACUUUUUUCCCCUUGUUUCAAUGACUUCCUGACGAAGAGGGGGAUGAGUGGAAGAAAAAGUAGAAAAACAACAGAAAAAAAAAAAAAAGCAGCAGGAAGCAUGCAUUUAACAGAUAGGUGCUGACACCCUCAUCCUGUCGUGUGCCGGCAUGGUUCAGGUGCUUUGGACCAAUCAGAUCUCUCCUCUCCUUUUACCUCAGGGUGUGCCCAAGUUGGCUGAGGAGAUGCACCUUUCCAUCAUGAGCCCCUCUGGAGGAAGUAUAAUGUUUCUGGAAAGAAAAGGAGAGGAUUUUACCGCCUGUUUGCAGGCUUCACCACCCAACAGAGACAUAAAAGUGAACAAAGGAUAAAGUACGUGCUAAGUGUCAGGUUAUCUGAUGACCGUUUCCUUUAAUUUUUAUUACAGAGUGAGAGGUAAAGAUAACAGACCAACCAAUGCAGAGCUCUUUGCAUUCCUUUAUAACUUCUCCCUUACAAUUUAAA